CCCCCCCACCGGCCGCCGCCGCCAGAGGUGAGUCCUGGCGCAGCCGCCUGGCCUGGGAGGGCCGCCCCCGCCCGAGUCUGGCCACACUGCGCCAGGCCCUGCCUCCGUGGGGUCCCUGCCCACCUACGGGGGCCCGCGAUCAUCCUGGGGUCCCUCGCCCCCUCCCACAGGGUCCCUGCUCUUCCACGGGGGUCUGUGGUCAUCCUGGGGUUCCCUACUCCCACCCAUGGGGGUCUGCGGUCAUCCCAGGAUCCCUGGCACCCAACUAUCGGGGUCCCCUGCCCCCACUCACAGGGUCCCUGCUCUCUCACCGGUGUCCCUGCCAUCCGUGGGGACCCUGCCAUCCGUGGGGGCUUACAGUCAUCCUGGGGUCCCCCACUCCCAUCCACAGCAUCUCUGCCCUUCCGCAGGGCCCCCUGCCCCACUCACAGGGUCCCUGCCCACCCACCGGGGCCCCUGCCUUCCCACGGGGUCUGCGGUCAUCGUGGGGCCCCUCGCACCAUCGCCAAAGCCCUGAGGUCUCCUGGCAUCACAGGGUCAGGCCCGGCUUCUCCCCCAGGACUUUCUGUGACCUGAGGCGUGCACGCGCGCACACACGCGCACACACGUGCUUCCUGCUCACCUGGAUUCUGCACAGUGGGCAGCCCCCACCCCCGGGGUCCAGGCUGUGGUUUGGAGGACAUCGCUGAUGCUCUGGUCUGAGCCCCACCCCAGCCCUGUGGCCUGGCUCGCCCUCGUAAACAAGAAACAGGUCCCCAGAGGGGCCAUUACUCGGGGCUGGCGCAGACACCCAGGGAUCAGGGCCCCCGCGGAUGGCAGACAAGGUGGUCCCCCGGCAGGUGGCCCGGCUGGGCCGCACGGUGCGGCUGCAGUGCCCGGUGGAAGGGGACCCGCCACCCCUGACCAUGUGGACCAAGGAUGGCCGCACCAUCCACAGCGGCUGGAGCCGCUUCCGCGUGCUGCCCCAGGGGCUGAAGGUGAAGGAGGUGGAGGCCGCGGACGCAGGCGUGUAUGUGUGCAAGGCCACCAACGGCUUCGGCAGCCUCAGCCUCAACUACACGCUCGUCGUGAUGGGUCAGUCAGGGCAGCGGCCACUGGGCCCUCCCCGGGGCAGCGCCAGUAGGUGGGGGG
rnacentral:lncRNA from 1 species